rnacentral:rRNA from 1 species
GACGAACGCUGGCGGCGUGCUUAACACACGCAAGUCGAACGGAAAGGCCCUGCUUUUGUGGGGUGCUCGAGUGGCGAACGGGUGAGUAACACGUGAGUAACCUGCCCUUGACUUUGGGAUAACUUCAGGAAACUGGGGCUAAUACCGGAUAGGAGCUCCUGCUGCAUGGUGGGGGUUGGAAAGUUUCGGCGGUUGGGGAUGGACUCGCGGCUUAUCAGCUUGUUGGUGGGGUAGUGGCUUACCAAGGCUUUGACGGGUAGCCGGCCUGAGAGGGUGACCGGCCACAUUGGGACUGAGAUACGGCACAGACUCCUACGGGAGGCAGCAGUGGGGAAUAUUGCACAAUGGGCGGAAGCCUGAUGCAGCAACGCCGCGUGCGGGAUGACGGCCUUCGGGUUGUAAACCGCUUUCGCCUGUGACGAAGCGUGAGUGACGGUAAUGGGUAAAGAAGCACCGGCUAAGUACGUG